rnacentral:rRNA from 1 species
UUGACGGUACCCUACUAGAAAGGAGCCGCUAACUUCGUGCCAGAAGCGUCGGUAAUACGGGGGCUCCAAGCGUUAUCCGGUGUUAUUGGGCGUAAAGAGUCGUGUAGGUGGUUGGGUAAGUUAUCUUUCAAAUAUCUUUGCUUAACAAAGAGGAGGGGGAUAAUACUGCUCGACUAGAAUUUUCUCAAGGGAGAUCGGAACUGAGGGAGGAGUAGUGAAAUGCGUUGAUACCCUCGGGAACACCAGUGGCGUAGNCGGAUCUCUGGGAGAAGAUUGACACUGAGACACGAAAGCUAGGGGAGCGAAGCAGAUUAGAGACCCGCGUAGUCCUAGCCGUAAACGCAUGCUUGCUAGCUGCAUGAAUCUACCUUCGGGUGGUAUCGUGUGGCGAAGGUAACCCGUUAAGCAAGCCGCCUGGAAAGUACGGCCGCAAGGCUGAAAUUCAAAGGAAUUGGCGGGGAGGCACACAACCAGUGGAACAUGUGGUUUAAUUCGAGACUAACCGAAGAACCUCACCAGGGUUUGACAUGUAGCUGCACGUCUUAAGAAAUUAAGACUCUCUUGAAGGUGCUACACAGGUGCUGCAUGGCUGUCGUCAGCUCGUUCCGUGAGGAGUGCCCUUAAGUGGGACAACGAGCGCAACCCCUAUUACAUGUUAGAAAUGUCAUGUAAGACUGCCUUGCCAUUUGGCGGGGAGGAAGGAGGGGCAGACGUCAAGUCCGCAUGGUCCUUAUGCCCUGGGCUACACACAUGUUACAAUGAGUACGGCAAUGAGUCUGUCGCGAGCACGUAAGUGUAAGCUAAUCUCUUAAAUGUACUCUCAGUGGGGAUUGAGGUCUGCAACUCGACCUCAUGAACACGGAAUUGGUAGUAAUCGCGGGUCAGCUAUACCGCGGUGAUACGUUCUUGCCUCUUGCACACACCGCCCGUCAAACCAGCAAAGU